rnacentral:snRNA from 1 species
AUUGUGUUACUUAGUACUA